AUGAGGACAGCCUUUGCAUGUGGCAAAAGUAUAAAACUAGGCUUUUCUUUUGUAACACUCCAAAAAGUAACGUGCCUAGGCGUACACUCAAUUUUUCACUGCUAUCGUCUAGUGGUUCAGGGCAUCUCUCUUUCAAGGAGGCAGCGGGGAUUCAACUUCCCUGGGGGUAGGGAGUAA
rnacentral:rRNA from 1 species